rnacentral:lncRNA from 1 species
CCAUGUCGCCAUGUAUCCAUAAAACACGAGAAUGUUGCACCGCUGCCACACCUGCCGCCGGUGGUAAAUACGGAAAACAAUCGGCAAUUAAAAACAUUGACUGGAAGUGGUCACAUCACAUCCGAUUGCUUCUUAUCCGAUUCUGCAUGGUCGACUGGGGUAGGUAAAAUUAGCCGAGGGAAGUGAUGCUCGCUGGGCCUGGAAGCCCGAGCUGGAAGUGGCUGGCUCGGAACCAUUAGAGAUGUCG